GUUCCCGUAGCGCAAUUGGAUAGAGCGUCGCCCUCCGAAGGCGAAGGUUACAGGUUCGAACCCUGUCGGGAAUAC
rnacentral:tRNA from 1 species